GACGAACGCUGGCGGCGUGCUUAACACAUGCAAGUCGAACGGAAAGGCCUGCUUUCCCUUGUGGAUUGCGGGUACUCGAGUGGCGAACGGGUGAGUAACACGUGAGUGAUCUGCCCCCAACUUGGGUAUAAGCCUGGGAAACUGGGUCUAAUUCCCGAUAGGACUGCAGGGUGGUGCCUGUGGUGGAAAACGAUUUUCUAGUGGUUGGGGAUGAGCUCGCGGCCUAUCAGCUUGUUGGUGGGGUAAUGGCCUACCAAGGCGGCGACGGGUAGCCGGCCUGAGAGGGUGGACGGGCACAUUGGGACUGAGAUACGGCCCAGACUCCUACGGGAGGCAGCAGUGGGGAAUAUUGCACAAUGGGCGGAAGCCUGAUGCAGCGACGCCGCGUGGGGGAUGACGGCCUUCGGGUUGUAAACUCCUUUCGACCGCGAGGAAGCCACCUGGUUGGAAGGGUGGUGACGGUAGUGGUAGAAGAAGCACCGGCUAACUACGUG
rnacentral:rRNA from 1 species